UGCUCAGUGUCCGUACUGUUGACGAACCAGUUAGACGGGCAGUUGGCAUUGCUUUUGGGGCGUUGAUAAGUGCGCACCUCAAGUCACCCACCUCGACGUAUGGUUGUUGUUGCUGUGCGUGCAGUGAAAUAAAAAUAACAUCGCGGGUCUGAAAUAAGAAAAACACUCUCGAUAAGGCAAGGCAACGCAAAACAGUUGCGCCGCACACUUCGGACCGGGCACAACGCCAAUUCACAGCCAAUCCGAUUCGAGCCAAUCGCCGCAGUGAGCUCACUCCGGCGGAAUCCCAUCGCCAUGCCCGAUAACAGCAAUAAAUUUAGCGCCUCCAGCGAUGUCCGCAUUCCGGCCUGGAUCAAUGAGGCCUACUUCAAGCGACUGCUCAAGCGGGAGUUUCGGGAGUUCCGGCGCAUCCUCAACCUCUCGAUCAUCCCAGCCACGCCGCCCGGAGAAACCUACACAUCGCUGCUGAUGCGCAUCGUCAUCGACAUCGAGUUGAAAGAUGGAUUCUCACAGCAAAAGUCGUACAUAGUAAAGACCAUGCUGGACGACGCCCAGGGAAAUGGUGGAUUCGUGAACACACUCAACAUCUUUCCAAAGGAGAAGAUGAUGUACGAAACGAUUAUACCUAAUUUGGAACAGCUCUACGAGGAAGCUGGACUGAAUGUAAAGUUUGCACCAAAGUGCCACCAUGCGGAGGAUGUCAAAGGAAGGAUCUGCCUGGUUCAGGAGGAUUUGCAAACGAAAAAGUACCGAAAUAUAAAUCGCCUCAAGGGCUUCGACAUGGCCCACAUGCAUCGAGUGCUGGAAAAGCUGGCGGAAUUCCAUGCAGCAAGUGCCGUUUGGCGUCAGCGAAGAGGACCGUUUCCCGAUGAUUUUCAGAGGAUUUACCUACCCGCCAACUACCAGAAAUCGAAAUCGUAUCAGGCGAGGCUCCAGAGCUAUAAAACUGCAAUAGCCAGUUGGGGUCUGGCCGAUCACGAACAGUAUGUGAGUCGCAUUCCCACGGCCGAUCAAUUUGUGCAAUCCUACGCCCGCUGCUUUAACAACAAUCCGCAGGAAUUUAAAGUUCUAAAUCACGGUGCGUUUCGUGGACUUUCAACUAUGCAAGUGGGGUAGUCCGGCCCAGGAUCUUUGGGAACUCAUCAUAUGCUCGGCACGGCAUAGUAUACGAAUACAAUACUUUGACUACUUCAUCAGGAUAUACCACACACACCUAGUGCGCUGUCUAAAGAUCCUGAAAUACGGCGGACGAAUGCCAAUGCUAAGGGAGCUGCAUAUAAGCAUGAUCAAGUAUGGAUUUUGGGGUUACUUUACCACCUUCACGCACCUUGUGUUCAUUCUGCUGCCACCGGAUACGGAAGCUAGCUUGGUGAAGCUUACGCAGCCGGGAGAGGAAGGAGAUCGCUUCCGGUCCAAGGUGUACACAAAUCCACUCUACGUCCGCUCUGCGCUCAGCAUAUUCCCCUUUCUAAUUAGGCGUGGUAUUCUAGACUUUUGAAGCUGUUCAAGUCAUUAACUAUUAAAACCGAAAAUAAGUAUAUGAACUUUUAUUAAAGACUAAAAAUGUAAUUAUACGUGUAGAUUUAUAUACAUAUAUAUUUUUUACAUACUUAAUCUCGUUUGGACUGUAACUUCUUUUACAACAUAAAUAAAGAUGUUUUUAACUAUUAAAAAAAUU
rnacentral:misc_RNA from 1 species